rnacentral:rRNA from 1 species
GACGAACGCUGGCGGCGUGCUUAACACAUGCAAGUCGAACGAAGUGGCGCACGGGUGAGUAACGCGUAAUCAACCUGCCCUUCAGGGGGGGACAACAGUUGGAAACGACUGCUAAUACCGCAUACUGAAGGAGGGGAUUGCGUCUGAUUGGCUAGUGGGAGGGGUAACGGCCCACCAAGGAGAUGAUCCGUAGCCGGUCUGAGAGGGUGAACGGCCACAGGGGUACGGAGACACGGCCCAGACUCCGACGGGAGGCAGCAGUAGGGAAUCUUCGGCAAUGGACGAAAGUCUGACCGAGCAACGCCGCGUGAGUUAUGACGGCCUUCGGGUUGUAAAGCUCUGUUUAUCGGGACGCGGUACCGGAAUAGAAAGCCACGGCUAACUACGUGCCAGCAGCCGCGGUGAUAC